GAAGACAGGCAGCUGCAAAUAUGGUUCUAUUUGUCGCUUCAACCAUCCUUAUCGGCCAGUUGUGGAUAUAGCAUUGAUGGCUCCACUGGUUCAAAUUACUCUUCCUACUCCAGCACCCAUUAUCUCGGCGCCGAUGUUAAACCCAGAU